GGCAGUCACUCUCUCUCAAUUCCACUUACUUCACAAGCAGUAGCAUCUUCAGGAGGCAGGAAGCUAUGAAGCUGCCUGGUUACUCAGAUCAUCAGGAAAAAGCCUUCUUAAGAUGCCUGGCUACCAGAUGGCUGAUAUCAGCUAUGCUAGAAAGGCUUUUCUCUUGUGCGGCUCCCAAGCUAUGGAACGUGCUCUCUAGGGAGAUUGUUGACAACAUGCAGACAGCUGUCUCUAUCUUAGGACAGUUCUUCAGGGGCAGCAUCACCUUGGCUUUUAUAGGACUCAAGGCAACAUUUAUGGUUCUCCUUCAUGGUUUCUGCCAUUUUAUCCUCAAAUCCUCCACCACCCCAUGAAGUAGUUUUGAGAUACCAAAUUAUCCAAGCUCACCAGUGGAGUUUAGUGUCAUUUGAACAGAGUUUGAAUAUGGGUCUUCCUGUUCUUGAGCGACCAGAUCUGGGCUACCAAAAAAUUCAGACAAGGCCUCAAUGGCAGCAAAGAGAUGCAGAAAUGAGUUUUUCUGACUAGAUCUGAGAGCUCUACUCCAGAGAAAUGGUUCCCCACUGGGUCUUCUUUUGAGCUACCUUGAAAAGAUCCCUUAAGCUCCCUUUUGCAAUGACCUGAACUUCUGAGCAAUAGCUGGAAAGGAAAAUUAUGCUGAUUUAUCCUAAAGUCAAUACUUGUAUAUAAGCAGAGAGUUUUUCUCGUAUAUGUGAUUUUCUGAGAAGACAAGGUACAGAAGAUAAAGAGCAGCAACAAGCAUAUUCAUAUAUAGAUGCAAACCUGAAUACAUUCCAAUCAACCAGCAAAACAGAGAAGAUGAAUGUCUCAUAAACCAAAUGCAGGAUGGGCAUUUCAAUUACUGCUUUUGCAGCCUAUGAAAAAUAGUCUAAUUGUAUAAUGAUUCUCGCUUCUUUUCAUCCACUAUCUUUUGUGGUGACCUGCGUUUUGGGUAAUGAAUGUUGCUACAAUGAUGCAGGAGAUACUGACUUGGGCCCUGGCUUUGUUUGUUUUGUUUCGGUCCAUGUGUGAGUUUUUCUUCUUCUAAAAAAAAA